GAUGAACGCUGGCGGCGUGCUUAACACAUGCAAGUCGAACGGGAAACAUUUCAUUGAGGCUUCGGCGGAUUUGAUCUGUUUCUAGUGGCGGACGGGUGAGUAACGCGUGGGUAACCUGCCUUAUACUGGGGGAUAACAGCCAGAAAUGACUGCUAAUACCGCAUAAGCGCACAGAACCGCAUGGUUCGGUGUGAAAAACUCCGGUGGUAUAAGAUGGACCCGCGUUGGAUUAGCUAGUUGGCAGGGCAGCGGCCUACCAAGGCGACGAUCCAUAGCCGGCCUGAGAGGGUGAACGGCCACAUUGGGACUGAGACACGGCCCAGACUCCUACGGGAGGCAGCAGUGGGGAAUAUUGCACAAUGGGGGAAACCCUGAUGCAGCGACGCCGCGUGAAGGAAGAAGUAUCUCGGUAUGUAAACUUCUAUCAGCAGGGAAGAUAAUGACGGUACCUGACUAAGAAG
rnacentral:rRNA from 1 species